rnacentral:rRNA from 1 species
CAGUCGCCGCGGUAAUACGUAGGGGGCAAGCGUUAUCCGGAAUAACUGGGCGUAAAGGGUGCACAGGUGGUUUAACAAGUUAGUGGUGAGAGGCAUAGGCUCAACCAAUGUAAGCCAUUAAAACUGUUUAACUUGAGUGCAGGAGAGGAAAGUGGAAUUCCUAGUGUAGCGGUGAAAUGCGUAGAUAUUAGGAGGAAUACCAGUGGCGAAGGCGACUUUCUGGACUGCAACUGACACUGAGGCACGAAAGCGUGGGGAGCAAACAGGAUUAGAGACCCCGGUAGUCCCUGUCUCUUAUACA